GGACAGGAGAACUACAUGAACAAGCACACGACAAGGUAGUGCGAGAACUGCCGCAGAGACGCAUGGAGCAGGGAAAGCCGCCCCAGAAGAGAGGCCUCCGCUCUCCCCGAGAACCAAUGCUGACCUCUCUGAGCUCCAGUUUGCUCGUCAGAAAAGCAGAGAAAGAACUCCACCCAGCACCUCACAGGCAGCUGUGGGAUUCAGAUGAAAUCGUGAGAUGAACCUGCUCCGUGGAUGGGACCCCCUGCCCAGGCGAGAGUGUAUCACGGCAGCAAGCCCUCCCCUGGGCGGAUCCAACGAUUGGCAGAAUAAUCCCUGCAACAAGGAGGCGCACUCAACGAGCUUCUGUGUGAGCCAGAGGAGUGAGUCAAUGGCAAGGUGAAGAAGGGACGGGCAUUCUAGGCCAAAAGAACUUCUGCAAGAGAGAAUUAAAUAGAUCAUCAGGGGAAAUUCGGGAAGUUCGGUGUAGAAAGAUGAG
rnacentral:lncRNA from 1 species